rnacentral:sRNA from 1 species
ACACACGCUCAGCAUGGAGUGCAUUCCGAUUCGUACACUUGACAUUGACGUUGGGAGAUACUUCUUCGUAUUAUGAGUCCAGAAUAGCGACGCUAACGGACCAACUACUGCCUCAACGAUAGAUGCAAAAAUGGCGCCAUCCGAACUCUGCACCAGCAAGUACUGGGAGAACGUUCCGCAAGUAAAGGCAGCGAUAAAUAUCCAGGACCUAGUCACUGCUCGUCCGCAGUCCGAGGCGGAGGAAUAUGAACAAUGUAGACCCCGUUGGAAGUGAUUUCUAAAGUCGGAGAAGUUGUCAACCUGUUGAGAAAAGGGAUAUAUAUUUUCGCUGGUUUUUAUUUGCCAUGUUUAUUUAAAAAUGUUUCUUUUUAGAUUGAUGAAUUUUCAAUAGUACAAAUGUAUAUAUAGUACGAAUAGUAGUACCUAUAUAUUUACAUUUGCAAAAUUUAAUAUCUUUCUUUAGAUGAAACUAUACUGAAUUAAAUAAUUGCUCAAUUUUGUGAAGUAGUACAUAGAUGUACUAGCAAGUGAACAAAUAUUUGAUAUAGUUUCUUCUUAAGCACCCCUCCUUAAUUUAAAAAGCACUCAUCCGUAUACCUCUCAACACUUCUCAUUGAUGCUUAUUGCCUUUAAUAUGACUACGUUUUUGGAAACUCAAUUGAAAACUACAUACAUUUUGAUAGUUUUGACUAGUUUAACACGCCAACAAAAGAGCUUUAAGCGCUAUAGUUUCAAGGUUAGUGCUAUAAUGAAUUGUAAUCAAACGAUAUAACCAAACCACAGUACUUUUGGACGAGUAGGGCCAAAAAUACCGGAUUAACCACGUAGUUUGCCAUCAUAUCUAGUUGUUGUUGUUUGAUUUGAUUUUAAUUAUAGUGGAACAUGUAUGCAAUACUGACAAAUACUUACCAUUCCAAAGCCCGGUAUAAAAUCGGUCCAAAAGAAUCCCGUCAAUAACGGUAUUUGGACAAGUUGCGACCACAAAAUGAAAUUUAGUGCUUCGCUCUAAGAACAUGAAAAUUAAAAAUACUGUCAGUCAAAAUUUACAGGAUUUCCUACCAAAAAAAACCCCCAAGGACGAGUUGAACUUAGAUUUAAAUCUCUAUAUUCUUAAUCAAUUCUUGGCAUGGUGUGCCAGAAAAGAGUAUACAUUACAUUAUACUUUUAACUUAAUCGAUAAUUUGUGUUUUGCUGGAAACAAGUGAAUUAUACUAAAAUUGUAUAUUUAAAUAUUUCGAUUAUUUGUGUAUCUAAAUGAAAAGCCAAAUUACUGAAUAG